CAGAGACAGAGCUUUCUCUGCGGCGCACACUUCUCCCAAAGUGGCGUCCUAUCAACAAUUGAAGGUAAUAGGUUCAUGUGACAGCUAGGACUGCGAUAAAAAGCGGGAGAGAAAAAAGCAUGCAAGAAAAUGCUGCAUUGUUCAGAAUUGCUAUCUUGAUGCUUCUAAUAAGAACCUGUGAUAGCACAUACCUAGUGCUGAAGAUGGUGUCUGCUGACUAUCUGUUCCUUGAAGAUGGAGCAACCCUGGAGGGGCUGGUUUUCUGCAGAAAUCUCAUUUCCAACAUCCCACCCAGCAAGCGCCUAAAGUUUGUCUCCUGGGCCUUGGGAAAAGCCACACUUUC